rnacentral:rRNA from 1 species
AUGAAUGCUGGCGGCGUGCCUAACACAUGCAAGUCGAGCGGCAGCGAGGGGUGCUUGCACCCUGUCGGCGAGCGGCGAACGGCUGAGUAACGCGUAGGAAUUUGCCCCAAAGUGAGGAAUAACUGCCCGAAAGGGUAGCUAAUGCCGCAUAUGGUCUUCGGAUUAAAGGAUUUAUCCGCUUUGGGAGAAGCCUGCGUUGGAUUAGGUUGUUGGUAGGGUAAUGGCCUACCAAGCCGACGAUCCAUAGCUGGUCGGAGAGGAUGAUCAGCCAGACUGGAACUGAGACACGGUCCAGACUCCUACGGGAGGCAGCAGUGAGGAAUCUUCCACAAUGGGCGAAAGCCUGAUGGAGCAACGCCGCGUGAAGGAUGAAGGCCUUCGGGUUGUAAACUUCUUUUAUGAGUGAAGAAUAUGACGGUAACUCGUGAAUAAGCACCGGCUAACUACGU